rnacentral:tRNA from 1 species
CCGCUCGUGGUCCAACGGAGAAGACGCCGGUCUACGAAACCGACAAUGCAGGUUCGAUUCCUGCCGAGCGGA